GGCAUGGUGGCUGAGUGGUAAAGCGCUUGACUUUCAAACUGGGGUUGCCGGGUUCGAAUCCUGGUGAAGACU
rfam:Biomphalaria glabrata isolate BB02 unplaced genomic scaffold LGTN_random_Scaffold2301, whole genome shotgun sequence.